rnacentral:tRNA from 1 species
GGCGCGUUCAUCUAGCGGCUAGGAUACCGCCCUCUCAAGGCGGGUACACGGGUUCGAUUCCCGUACGCGCUA